rnacentral:rRNA from 1 species
AGCGCACUCUCUUAGAGUGAGCGGGCAAACGGGUGAGUAACGCGUGGGAAUCUACCCAUCUCUACGGAAUAACACAGAGAAAUUUGGUGCUAAUACCGUAUACGUCCUAUUGGAGAAAGAUUUAUCGGAGAUGGAAUGAGCCCGCGUUGGAUUAGCUAGUUGGUGAGGUAACGGCUCACCAAGGCGACGAUCCAUAGCUGGUCUGAGAGGAUGAUCAGCCCACACUGGGGACUGAGACACGGCCCAG